CAACCCUCAAGCACAGCUUGGUCUUGGGCUUCGCCGCUAACCCGGCGGGUCUUAAAAUCAGUGGCGGUGCCGUUGGGCCCUGAGCGCAGUAAUUUCUCUCGCUAUAGGGACCCGGCGGAUGCUGGCCAGCAACCCCCAAUUUUCUAU
rnacentral:misc_RNA from 1 species